rnacentral:rRNA from 1 species
UACGUAGGCAGCAAGCGUUGUUCGGAGUUACUGGGCGUAAAGGGUGUGUAGGCGGUUUUCUAAGUUUGGGGUGAAAUCUCCCGGCUCAACUGGGAGGGUGCGCCGAAGACUGGAAGGCUUGAGUAUGGGAGAGGUAAGCGGAAUUCCUGGUGUAGCGGUGAAAUGCGUAGAUAUCAGGAGGAACACCUGCGGUGUAGACGGCUUACUGGACCAUAACUGACGCUGAGGCACGAAAGCGUGGGUAGCAAACAGG